CAUUGUGUAUCCCUCCGUGGUCCAUUCGAAAGUAGUGCCUAUUUCUAAAGAGUUCCUUUUCUCUUCUUGAAUAUAAGCCAUUUAACAAUGUGAGACAUGACUUUUGUGGUUAUUUGUAAUAUCCUGUAUGUGUCUGGAGUACUUUGAUGCCUUGGAUUGGAAGCUAACUUAAAAGAUGAACUUUUGAGGGUGUGUUUUCUAUUGUGUGGGGCUUUUGUCGAAAUUAGGAUUCCGAAACACGUUUUUCUACGGUGGGUUCAUUCGACAGCGAUUUACUUUCUUAGAAGUUGCGAGACGGUAUGUUUUUGAUUGCAAUUAUUGGAAGAUGACAGAUCCAUCUUUAAAAUGAUACCAGGUUCGGAAAAAUUGAUACGUCGGAAAGGCAAGAAAAAUGCUGUGAAAGUUGUCAGUUUUAUAAUGGGACCCUAUGGGAAUCGGAAUUAGUGUAAUAUAACCUUUAAAAAGCACAUUUACUGCAAUGUCAAGGUCACAUGGAUUCGUCUGCAAGCGAGACAAGUAGAAAAUGAAUUUUAAUGAAUGUUUUGAUGAUUUGGGUGCUAAAAUAGAUGAGAGGUGUCAAUAUUUUGGUCCAAAUGGAUGUUUUAGGUGGUUUUAGACGGUUCCGGAUGGGUGGGGGACCUGGUAUGGACAAGUAAGGGUAACAUUUCCAACAAAUCUUAAAUGUAAAUAUUAUUAUGUCCAUAGAUUGAAGUUUCAGGUGGAGAGCAAGAUGAAAAAUAUGCAAAAUUACAUGCAUGCAACCCAUUUAUGCCAUUUUUCUCUUUGUUUGUAGGCCUGACCGUUUGUCCUUGAGCCGUAGAUGGUCAACAAUCCGCUAGCUGUCUUGCUCUGACUGGUGCACUGGACAUGAUUUCAAUGCGAGUCAUCAUACUGAUUGUUUAAUUAACACAUGAAUUUCAGUUUGUUCGUUAAAGUACUAACUUAGCUGUGUAUUUUUACAGUGGACGUAGUGGUGCGGUGCAGCUGGUAGACUAGGUUUUUCCAUAUGUACACUAUGUUUACAGAAUUGCGGCCAGUGGAGCAACAUAGCUGAUGAGUUAAUAGCACUAGUUCUUCAGACAAAUAACUUUAUUUUCAACCUAUAAAGCAUAUUUAGCUGUAGGUGGGGCCAAUUAGCUGUAAGAUCUGGCUUUUGUUCUGUUAAGCCCUUAGAGUAAUGAAUUUCAGAGUGAAGACCAUAGCGCCUUUUCCUAGUCAAGUAUCGGGCAGCUGUAUGUCUUUUCAGAAAUGCACAUGUCUUUUUAAGCAUGUCAUUGUGUUUGCUUUUAAUAAGAUAGGCAAUAAACUCAUAACCUUUAGACAAAUGAGCAUCUGUAAAUUCAGAUUUCACUAUUUCAGAGUCAGCCAGACCAUGAUUGAGCUUAAGGAUUGUGCUGCGGAUGCAGCCUGUGCAGUUCCGGGAGAAAGUCACUGUCUCGGGCAAUGCGGUCUGGUAUCAGGUCUGGAUGAUCCUUGCCUGACUGCGGGUUUGUGUACACCUCAAUCCGACUCUGUGUCCUGAACAGAGGCCGCAGUGGUGCAGCGCUUGUGGACGAUCCAUCAACAUCCUGAAAGGUCAACACUACACCAAGCUGGAAAAAUUGAUCCUGAUAGUCAUCCCCAGGUAGUGGAAUGAAUGUUCACUGAACUACAGAGGAAUCACACCCAAAUGACUUUCCUGCCACGACAUUAGUGUGGCCACUCGCGUAGGAAUUCCUUAGCAAACAUGCUCUUUUGCAUGGUGACUGUGGACAUUUUUGCAAAACUUACGCUUUCAACACUGGAUUUUAAAGAGAAUACUUAAUAAAAUGUCGCUAACAGGACUUAUUUAUAUGAGAGAGACUAUCUGGAUGCGCAUUAAGUGUCACUUUGUGUCGUAAGCUGUUGAAGGAGCGAUUUGCGCCUUUUUAAGUGUUAAUUUUGGGUAGCCGGCUUGUAUCAGCUUGAAAGCUGAAAAUUAUGCCUCUCAUCAUAAUAGCAUUAAUUUUUGUAAUUGCAAUGUGUAUGUUUAGAUUGUAAGUGAAGCUUUUAAUAACAAUUUUCUUAAAAAACAUGAUUUUA